AAGUCGUAACAAGGUUUCCGUAGGUGAACCUGCGGAAGGAUCAUUAACACGUAUCCAACGUUAAACCCCCCGUGCACACAGCGACCUGCUCCCCUCAAUUUCGGUCUUUUGGCAAUCCCUGGUAAAUCAUCGCCGAACAGUUUUGAUUCAGGGACAUCCAAAGGGCCGGGGUAGGGUAUUAAAGUAGUAGUCAAUGCAAAGCAACCUGGUUUCUUUGAAGCAGAAAGUGUGAUGGCGUGAGCCGGAGAACGGACCGAGUGGUAGUUCAAAGGUGUCUUCUGUCGCCAACACGGUCAGUGACCGGGUUCCUGGUCCUAGACCCCAUAUUCACCACCACAGUCGCAGACGAGGUAGGGAUACGUCCCUACCACCAAAUAAAUACUUGAACAACUGUUAACAAUGGAUAUCUUGGUUCUC
rnacentral:misc_RNA from 1 species